rnacentral:piRNA from 1 species
CCUUCUGGCUGGAGAUGGCUCUCA